rnacentral:rRNA from 1 species
AACGGAAAUCAGGGAGCUUGCUCCCUGUGAUUAGUGGCGAACGGGUGAGUAACACGUGAGCAACCUGCCCCUAACUUUGGGAUAACUUCGGGAAACCGGGGCUAAUACCAAAUACGACCCAUGAGGGCAUCCUCUGUGGGUGGAAAGAAUUUCGGUUGGGGAUGGGCUCGCGGCCUAUCAGCUUGUUGGUGGGGUAACGGCCUACCAAGGCAUCGACGGGUAGCCGGCCUGAGAGGGUGAUCGGCCACACUGGGACUGAGACACGGCCCAGACUCCUACGGGAGGCAGCAGUGGGGAAUAUUGCACAAUGGGCGCAAGCCUGAUGCAGCCACGCCGCGUGGGGGAAGAAGGCCUUCGGGUUGUAAACCUCUUUUGGCAGGGAAGAAGCGAAAGUGACGGUACCUGCAGAAAAAGCGCCGGCUAACUACGUGCCAGCAGCCGCGGUAAUACGUAGGGCGCGAGCGUUGUCCGGAAUUAUUGGGCGUAAAGAGCUCGUAGGCGGUUUGUCACGUCUGCCGUGAAAAGUGCGCGAGGCUCAACCUCGGACCUGCGGUGGGUACGGGCAGGCUAGAGUGCGAUAGGGGAGAGCGGAAUUCCUGGUGUAGCGGUGAAAUGCGCAGAUAUCAGGAGGAACACCGAUGGCGAAGGCAGCUCUCUGGGUCGCUACUGACGCUGAGGAGCGAAAGCGUGGGGAGCGAACAGGAUUAGAUACCCUGGUAGUCCACGCCGUAAACGUUGGGCGCUAGACGUGGGGGUGGUUCCACCGCUUCCGUGUCGCAGUAACGCAUUAA